AGGAUAAUCAUUUCCAACGAACUAUAGAAAAGGACACUUCAGCGAAAUGUGAUGCUUUUGGCUUCUCUUUUUUUAUCAAAGAAGUGUUUGUGGUUGUACUCAAUUUAAAGCUUUUAAAGGACCAAACUUGUCAAUGCUGCCCAAACACUUUUCAAACCUAUUUAAACAAAAUUUCACACUAUCACAUGUAUUUUUAUAUACUUAGUUUUUCAAAAAUUCCAGUUG